AUUCAUUUUACCCAUUUCCUUCCUGAGAAUCAUUUGAAAAUAUUCCUGUUACCAUGGCAUAGUUGAAUUAUUCUGAGAACGAGGUACCAGACAACAGCGACUAUGUUUUAAGGACGUGGGCAUCGCUAGCUGGACCAGCAUUUGAUGCCCAUCCCUAAUUGUCCUGAAAGAGGCGGUGAGCGGCCUACUUGAACGCUGCAGUCCUUGGGAGAAAGGGGCACCCCCAGCGUUUUUUGGGAGGAACCACCUGAAUGAUAAGUGUGAGAACUGUCGUAAAUCGACUGGGAGGAAGCUAAAUAUAAUCAGAUCCCAUUUUGCAGAAGGAAGAAGAGAGAUGAUUCAAUAAUUACAUAAAUAUCAUGUUUAGAGGAUCAAGCUAACGAGAACCAACUUUAAAAAAGAAGACUUCCAUUUGUCCAGCAUAACAGGGUAGAUGCAGGAAGAAUACUCCUCAGGACAGGGGCCACGGCCUACGGAUAUGGGGUAUUGCAUUUGGGACUGGGAUGAGGAAGACUUUCUUCUCCCAAAAAGUGCUGAGCCUAUGGAGUUGCUACCACAGAAAGGAGUUGAGGCCAAACACUACGAUUUCAAGGAGUUGGAUAUAGCAUUUGAGGCCAAAAGGAUCAAAGGGGAUCAGGCUAUUGAGUUGGAUGAUCAGCCAUGAUCACAUCGAAUGGCAUAGCAGGCUUGAAGGGCUGAAUGGCCUACUUUUAUUUUUUAUUUCAUGAUCUCAUUAUGUUUCAAUUGCAACGAUGAGGUACCAUUGAAGCAUGAUCACUGUUGGAACAUAAAACAUGCAGCAACUAAUUUUUGCACAGAAUGAUUCCUCAAAGAGUGACAAAACAAAUGAAAAAGAUUUUUUUUAAAAAUUUGUUGUUGGGAUGAGGGCAUCACGAGCUAGGGUUGCAUAUAUUGCCCAUCCCUAAAUACCCAGAGGUUAGUUAAAAGUUAACUGCAUUGCUGUGGGUCUGGAGUCACAUGUAGGCCAGUCCAGAUAAGAAUGGCUGAUUCCUUCCCUAAAGGACAUUAGUGAACCAGAUAGGUUUUUCGUGACAACCGAUGAUGGGUUCAUGGUCUUCAUUAGACUUUUCAUUCCAGAUUUUCUUUCAGUGAAGUUGAAUUUUGUCAUCUGGCAUGGUGGCAUUUGAACCCAGGUCCCCAGAACAUCACCCAGGUCUCUAGAUAAACAGUCCAAUGAUCACUAAGCCAUGGCCUCCUCAUGUUGGUUGAGGGAUGACCUGAUCUCAGCUGAGACAGUGCAGCAAUCCCCAAGUAGUGCAUCAGAGGGAUACAGGCCAAGCGCAAGCAAGUGAGACCGGUUUAGUUUGGGAUUAUGGCAGGCAUGGGUUGGAUGGGCCGAAGAGUCUGUUUCUGUGCUGUGUGACUUGAGGAGUGUCAGUCUCAUUUAUAUGCUCAAGAUACUGGAACCAAGAUUUUGACCUGCAUCUGAAAUAGCCGAUCACCACACUUUUCAACAUGUGAACAUUUAUUGAAAUAGCCAGGGUUAACUUUCUGACUCCCUGUGGGCAGGGCUUGUUGGCAAGUCUGCACAGCUGGAAAGUUGACACUCAGAACCCAACUCAUGAUACUGUAGAAAAUCAACACAUUGUUCAGUCAAGAUUAUUCCAAGCAGCAACUUUACCUUAAAAAGAAUAUCUGUGCACAUGGCCUUUCCAUGUGUUAUUAUUGGUUCCUGGUCCUCUCCUUUUCCAUCCCAACAAUCUAACUCUACACAUCUGGUUAAACAAAGGAAAGAAGCUAUAAUGACAUGAAGUUCACUGAACAGCUCUUAAGAAACAACAUAUGUAAUGUUCAUUCAUAAUAAAUGUAUUUCUGUUCUGAAUAAAUGCUACCAGAGACACUGCAGAACCGUCACUGCAAUUUGUGUCUCAGUUCACCAUCAACAUAUUAAUCGGUUAGAAUUACAUCUUGAUAGUAUUUAUUAAAUGUGGGCGAAGAGAACCCCCUGCUAAUUAUUAAUGUACAACCUGCACCUGAAUGCACAAAAUAGUCUUGAUAAUAAAACUAAAAAUUAAUGAGUAAAGGUCAAUUUCUGGUUCCCUUAAACCUGACACAGCAAUCAUUAUCCACUGAACAAUGUUUUGGCAUCUGUUUUACCCCAUUCUUCAAUUUGCAUUUUUUCGGCUUAAAAUAGACUAACAAACACGUCGCAAUGGAGCAGAAAUGAAUUUGAUAGGAAUAUGCUAACUUCACGAAUUGCAGAGGGCAAUUUCAGCUGUGCGUGAUCCCAACUGAGUUAUCGCAAAAAUUUGUGACCAAAGACUGCAAUUGAAAAGAGGUUUUAUUAAGUAAAAUUAUUAACAAAAAGCAGUGUAAACUGAAGACAGAUUGCCAUUUGCUA